CUGAAAUCCUGCUUCCUGGACAGAUCACAUUCUCACUCUCUCUCUCUCUAGUGCUUAAACGAUGGCAGCCUACAGCAAUCCACGGAUACAGAACUCUCAUGAGUGCAGUUUGUGUCUUACAAAAUCAAAGAAUGUCAUUACUAUUCCCUGCGGGCAUGACUUCUGCAGGGCCUGCACCGACGGCUUAAUCAGUAAAUAUGAACGCACGGGCUCAUACAGCUGCCCGCAGUGCUCGCAAACUUUCUCCACUAAGCCUGAGCAGGAUGGACCUGUGGACAAAGUUGAAGACGAACUCAAAGAGACAGCUCUCCACACGCAUACCCGAGCAGACACGACUACCACACCCGAGGACGUGGCCUGCGACGCAUGCAGACAGAAAGCCGUCAAGUCGUGUCUGAUGUGUCUGGCCUCGUAUUGUGACCGACACCUCGAGCUUCACAACGACCUCCAUGCGAGGGCUUUACACACACUAGUGGAUGCUACUGAUCAGCUGUAUGCGUUGACAUGCUCCGUACACGGUAAAGUCCUGGAGGUUUACUGCCGGAAAGAGAAACAACGCAUCUGUUGCAUGUGCAUGCUGGAGGAUCAUAAGGGGCACGACAUGGUGGCAGCAGGUCAGGCAGACAAGAAGGAGGAGCUGAGAAACUCCAAGCGGAUAAUCACAGAGCAAGAGAAGCAGCUAAAGGAGCUUCGCUUGGCUAAAAACAAUCUUAGGGACAUGGCACUAGCUACGGAGGAAGAGACCGAGCGUCUUCUCACCGAGCUGAUCCGCUCUAUAGAAAGCAGCCAGUCUGUGAUAAAGGCCCUGAUCCGAGCUCAGGAGCGAGCAGAACUGGAAAGAAUCAAGGAGCUGAUCAAGCAGAUGGAGGACGAGAUGAGCGAGCUGAAGAGGAGUGAUGCAGAGAUGGAGCAGCUCUCGAGCAAUCAGAAUGACAUGCAGUUCCUGCAGUCAGUCCAGGCCCUCAGUCUGACUUCUGCAAACCUCUUCAAGAUAACCGUCAAUCCUCAGUUCUCUUUCGGGGAGGUGGUGAAAUCCAUCUCAGCGUUCAAGAAGCGGAUCGAUGAUGUCUGGCAGUGUGAAAUCGAUCAAAUAUCAGCAGCAGUGAAGAAAGACAAAAUUGUAGUUCCUUCUGAACCGAAGACAAGAACGGACUUCCUGCAAUAUCUGGUCCCACUAUCUCUUAACUGCGACACAGCCCACAAAAGCUUGAGUAUCUGUGAAGAGAAGCAAGUGACUUGUAGCACUGAGUGCCAUGACUAUCCUGACCACCCUGAACGCUUCGACUGGUGGGCGCAGGUUCUUUGCCGAGAUCCGCUGAACACACGCUGCUACUGGGAGGCCGAAUGGACAGGAUUACACGGAGUGGACAUUGCAGUCUCAUACAGAGACAUUACCCGUAAGGGAGAGGAUGAUGGAUGCAGCUUUGGGUACAACCAGCAGAGCUGGAAUUUGGACUGCGCCAUAAUGAAAUAUACUUUUGCUCAUGAUGGCGUAGAAAUGGAAAUCUCAGCACCUGUAUCCCACAGGAUCGGGGUAUAUCUCGACUACAAGGCUGGACUGCUGUCUUACUACAGUGUCUCAGAUCACAUGACGCUCCUCCACAGCGUAAAGACAAGGUUCACGCAGCCUCUAUAUGCUGGGUUUGGGUUGUUUCAGGGAUCCACAGUAAAAAUAUGCCAACCAGAUUUAAAAGUAAAACAACAAGAUAACCAAAGUGUCAAGAGAUGUACGAAUGUGAACGGAAACAGCACAUGAAGAAAAGAACAUAAUGAGAUCCUCAUUGGGGCUGAAGUUUAACAUUUGACCUGCUGUUAAGGGAACACGAGUUUGAAACCCAACAAUGCCACAUUUACAGCAUUCUUUUUAAGGGCAAAUUAGAUUUCAGCAGUUGGGGGUUGGGUGAGUUGCUAAAGUGCCCAGCUGGGAUUUAGAAAUCCAAAUUCUAAUGCAAUUUGCAAAAUGCAAUCUUUUUUUGGCUUCUUCCAUCACCUGCUCACAACCUGGCAGGGUUUGCACCAGAUGCAACCAUCCCAUUUUAUUUAGUCUUGUGCAUUUCGUCCAGUGGCUGGGGUUUGGACCCGCAGUGGGCAUUGGCUGGGACUUUUGGCUGGGACUUGGACCUGGGCCUUCCGCAUGGCGGGUAAGACAUCUACCACUGUCCCAAUGUGAUUUGCUACCACUCACGCCCAUGAAAGCCCAUAGAAAUGAUAAAAAGAUGUGCUCUCCAUAAGCAAUCACGGUGCUUUCCGGAAGCUAUCAAUACAGUGCGGAAACCAGUUGCACAAAAACUCUCCAAAAAUGACAUAAAAAAAAGAAGAAAUGAUGGUAUUUCAACCACCUACGCAAGAAUUUGGGAUAACAUGGAAACAUUUAUUAAUCACAAAUUUUGAAAUAAACCAAUCAACCUGAGACACUGAGCUGAAAAAAAUGUUUCAUGCUGGGGAUUUCGACUCGACGGCGUCAUGCAGCUCCAUCGGGAACCAAACUGCUCAGGAGUGUUUGGGUGUUAAACCCGUUUCACUUCAAAACAGACUUCGGAUGGUCACCCCCCUCCAGGAGAACCUUCUUAUCAACACGACGUCGUUUUCAUGUUAAAAGGCUGAACGUACAGUACACACCCGUGUCCUUAACUGUGACUCAAAAUCAGAUUAAAUAUGAUUCAUGAUAAUCC